rnacentral:rRNA from 1 species
GAUGAACGCUGGCGGCGUGCCUAAUACAUGCAAGUCGAGCGAACAGAUGAGUAGCUUGCCCCUCUGACGUUAGCCGCGGACGGGUGAGUAACACGUGGAUAACCUACCUAUAAGACUGGUAUACCCUCGGGAAACCGGAGCUAAUACCGUAUAAUCUAUUGAACCGCAGGGUGCAGUAGUAAAAGACGGUUGUUCUUGCACUGAUAGAUGGAUCAGCGCCUCAUUAGCUAGAUGGUGAGGUAACGGCUUACCUAGGCAAAGAUGCGUAGCCGACCUGAGAGAGUGAUAGGCGACCCGGGAACGGAGACACGGACAAGGGUACUACGGCACGCAGCAGUCGGGUACGUUAGGCGAUGGGGGAAAGCCUGGCGGAGUAGCCGAGAGUGAGUGACAACGACGUUGGGAUCGUGAAAAUCUGUUAUUAGGGAAGAACCAAUGUGUACGUAACUAUACCCGUAUUGACGGUACCUGAAGAGAAAGCCACGGCUAACUACGUG